UCAGCUGAACACGGGAGUCCCGGGACCGGGGACUGAGAGUGGGCCUACGACCGGCCCUGACCGUCGUACCUGAUCCGGGUCAUGCCGGCGAAGGGAGAGGACAUGGUGGCGGG
rnacentral:ncRNA from 1 species